rnacentral:rRNA from 1 species
CAGCAGUAGGGAAUCUUCCGCAAUGGGCGAAAGCCUGACGGAGCAACGCCGCGUGAGUGAUGAAGGGUUUCGGCUCGUAAAACUCUGUUAUUAGGGAAGAACAAAUGUGUAAGUAACUGUGCACAUCUUGACGGUACCUAAUCAGAAAGCCACGGCUAACUACGUGCCAGCAGCCGCGGUAAUACGUAGGUGGCAAGCGUUAUCCGGAAUUAUUGGGCGUAAAGCGCGCGUAGGCGGUUUCUUAAGUCUGAUGUGAAAGCCCACGGCUCAACCGUGGAGGGUCAUUGGAAACUGGGAAACUUGAGUGCAGAAGAGGAAAGUGGAAUUCCAUGUGUAGCGGUGAAAUGCGCAGAGAUAUGGAGGAACACCAGUGGCGAAGGCGACUUUCUGGUCUGUAACUGACGCUGAUGUGCGAAAGCGUGGGGAUCAAACAGGAUUAGA